rnacentral:pre_miRNA from 1 species
GAUUUCAAGUGAAAAAGUCAUCAACAACAAAGUUGUAUAACUAAGAAGAUCUGUAACUUUUAUUUCGGUUAUUUCUUCAUCCGACAAAAUGACAGUAACAUUGUUCACAAAAUUUACAUAUCUCUCAUCUGGUUUUAUAAACUAUAACUCAAAUAUCUAAAUUUUGUAAAUAUUGUUACUAACACUUUGUUGGAUAAAGAAAUAACAAAAAUAAAAGUUAUAGAUCUUGAUGAGUUAUACAACUUUGUUGUUGAUGACUUUUUCAGUUGAAAUC